rnacentral:RNase_P_RNA from 1 species
GAAGCCAGCCAGACCGUCGCCGCCCGGGAAACCGGGGGGAGGAAAGUCCGGGCUCCGCAGAGCAGGAUGCCGGGUAAUGCCCGGCCGCGAUAAGUCGCCGCUAGCGCGGAUGACGAAGGCGAGGAACAGGGCCACAGAGACGAGUCGCCGCGGGUCAAACCGCGGCGGGUGAAACGCGGCAACCUCCAUCCGGAGCAACACCAAGUAGGCGGACGCGCAUUUGGCAACACAGGCUGCUCGUCUAGUCCGCGGGUAGGUGGCUUGAGCGCAUCGGCAACGAUGCGCCUAGAGGAAUGACGGCCAUAGCGCGCAAGCGCCGUAACAGAACCCGGCUUAUCGGCUGACUUCGGCU